GACGAACGCUGGCGGCGUGCUUAACACAUGCAAGUCGAACGGAAAGGCCCUGCUUUUGUGGGGUGCUCGAGUGGCGAACGGGUGAGUAACACGUGAGUAACCUGCCCUUGACUUUGGGAUAACUUCAGGAAACUGGGGCUACUACCGGAUAGGAGCUCCUGCUGCAUGGUGGGGGUUGGAAAGUUUCGGCGGAGGGGGUUGGACUCGCGGCUUAUCAGCUUGUUGGUGGGGUAGUGGCUUACCAAGGAUUUGACGGUUAGCCGGCCUGGGAGGGAGACCGGCUCCAGGGGACUGGGGGAGGGACCAGUGCGCAAUCGGGGGCAAGGGGCGGAAAACUGGUCCAGCCGGGCGGAGUCUGUGUAGAGGAUCUCCGGAUUGGGAAGCACGGCUUGGGGGGGGGAAACGCAUUACGCUAGUACCUAGCUGUUGUGACGGUAAUGGGUAAAGAAGCACCGGCUAACUACGUG
rnacentral:rRNA from 1 species